GGGGCCAUGGAGACAGGAAAUUCCCAAUUCAAACAGUAGUGCAGUUCUUUUCCCAGGCUGGUAAUUCCAAAAGGUAGCAAAAAAGCACUACUGUUACAGAGAAAAAAGAAAUGCACAACUGUUAUGGAUAUAAAAAUUCAUACUUUGCCAGGAUGAGAGCAAUUUUGGACAGAAAACGCUAAAUAUGAUAAGAUUUCUAUGGCAGGUUGAAUAUUGCUGUUAUCUAAAAGAUCUGUUUGCUCAGUGUUCCAGAAUUUGUGCUGAAAAAUUCAUCAGAAACAAGCGGAAGCAGAGGAGUGGGAUGAAAAGGGGAGCUACAACAGAUACAAAGAGCACAAUAACACUAUCUGCUAGAAGAAAUUCUCAACUACAACACACUACUGUUCAACACACUCACCACUGUUAGCUAUUCAUUUUUGUCAGCAACGAACAACAUCCUGCAUGUUGUUGCUCAUAAAAACCUGCACAAGCAGAGCUGACUCACUGUUUCACAGCUGCUGUGAUGGUAUUGUUGCUAAGCAAGUGUUGCCCACACAGUUCAUUGUUCAUUAAUCCAAGCAGAUGGAAGUCAGAAGAUGCUAAAUCCAGACUAUACAGUGGAUGUGGUAGGACACUGCAGCCACGACUGGCAAUGGCUCCACAGUCUUCAAACUGACAUGGGACCUGGCAACAAAACCGAAGCACUGCUGAAAAGGUUCAACCUCUACUGUUAUAUCAUCAACAUCUGCCUUUGAUGUCAUGAACCAAGAUAAUAAAACAGUAGGUAUUACUUUUGGAGCAGCCCUCAUAACUACUCGGAAGUCUAAAAUAAUCAUGCAUCAGACACCCAAGUAGAGCAAUGAAAAGAACACCAGAAGUUGAUGGCCUUCCUGGAGGAACAGAUCAAAGUUUUACACAGAAGAUUUUUAGACCAUUAAAUUUUGUCAGAUCCCAUCAUCCCACGAUCCUGAUCAAAACAGGACACUAGCAAUAGAGACCAGGUCAGGGCACUUCCCAUUGCCUGAAUACAGCCUCAGCCGCUCACUCAAGUAGCGGCUCUCCCCCUGACAUGGCACAUACUCAUGGUGUCAAAAGGCAAGUGAAACAGUCUUCCACUGACUCCCCCCCCCCCCACUCCAUCCAACCUUACAACUACUUUAAUUCUUUCUUCUAAAGGUUUUCCUGAACUCUUCAGACUCUUUCUGCUGCUUAUGCCUCAGUCUUUACAAACACCAUCUUUUGUCAUCUUUCUAAUCAAACUGUAAAAACGAUUGAGUUUGAGGAAGCCCAGGAGCUUGGUGACAGCUGGAAAGAGCUCUUUGUUGCUCACAGAAGCAUGGGAGUACUAAUGAGCACCAACAGUUUAGGAGUGCACAAUAUAAAAAAAUUUAUAUGUAUGUUACAAUAUGGGAAGAAAGUAGAUGUUAUAAAUUUAGUUAUGAAGUUCUCCAGACAACUUGUUUUAAUUGUCCAGGAAUGCAGAGUACAACAGUUGUGCACGCUUCUUUAACUACCCCUUUGGUCAUCAGUCAGACUGAGCUGAGCAGCAGGUGUAUCAGCAGAGCUGACAGCAGUAAGAAAUCAGCUGCAAUGAGACAGACACACUGCUCAAUCCGCUGCAAACUACAGACUCAAGUGUAGUUAAAUGUAGAAGAGAACUUGGAAAGUCUUGAAUGUCUCUGGAUACAGGCAGCCUUAGGUUUUGUUCCUGACUCAUCUGGUGAGCAGCCUAGUCAUUUCCCUGAGCACUUCCCCAUCGUAUACCAGGAGUAACAAUGCUGCCUCUUUCGCAAGGCACUAAAUGAUAGCUGGCUAUUAUCACGGCAGUUCUAAAGAAAUCAUUCAGAACUAUAGAUUUUUAAUAGUAUUUAAGGUGAUAAGUACUAUACAAACAUACAGAAAAAGAGGUACAGUUCUAACCCCAAGUUAAUACAGUGGCAGUCUGACAUACAGGGAAAAUAAGCAUAGAAUUAUAGAGUCAGAAUGUUUUGGGUGGAAGGGACUGUACAGACCAUCUGGCUCCAACCCUGCUGUAGGCACCAGACUGAGAUGCUCACCCACCAAAUACAAUUGCCCAGGGCCCCAUCCAACCUGGCCUCGAACGCUUCCAGGGAUGGGGCACCCACAGCUCCCCUCACCACCCUCACAGCAAAGGAUUUCUUCCUUAUGUCUAAUCUAAAUCUACCCUCAGGCCUUGGUGAAGUCUUUCUCAGUCUUAUAAUAAUCACUCCUACUUCUUCAGCUUACAGAUUUGGUUUGGAAAUCUCCUGUGAGAAAGCCUUCCAUUUAGCAUUUAAGAAUAUUUCCAAUUUUUUGGAUAUACGUGAGGCUUAAUUAAAAAUGAAACGCUCUUCAGUGAGGUUAUUUUAAUGAGUGCAGCCCAACAAGGAAUAGUGACUGUUCUAUUGCAAAAGAAAGAAUACGAUAGAAGACGUCCUUGCUCAUACACCGCUCAGAAGGAUUUCGUCCUUCUCACGUCUUUCACAUUACCUUCUCUUCUCAUUUUCAUAUUUUUGUUUUCUCCUUCGCUUCACUCCAUGGCAGCAAAUAAUGCUGAAUACCGAUGCAGCUGUACUCACUCAUUUGCAGAUCAUUUCUCUAAGUACCACACACAAGUGUUCUGCUUUUCCAAAUGCAAAUCAAGGCUGGUUACCUUAAUUACUCAUGGAUUACGGAGGUGCACAGGUGAGAUGGGCUUUCAUUACCCCCACCUACAUUGAAAGCAGCAGCUAAAUCUACAUAUUCUUUCAAUGACUGCUCAAAGCACAGCACUAGCACAGAUGAAUCCUUGUCAGAAAUAAUUCACUUUGUCUGAACAAGGAGUUGCAGGAGAUGACAUUAUUUUUAAGCCAGCAGAUGAAUAAUAAUCCAAGUGACUGCUUUGGGAGGAAUACAAUAAAAGAAUACUCAGUGACUUUUUCACCCAAUUUACUCUUUCUGGGAGUAUCAAAACAAUAUUUAGACACGUUAUCAUAAAAAAAGUUAGACACGUUACCCAUAAAGAGAGACUCCUGCUUCUCUUUUACGUAAAUUGGUAGCACGGUACUAACAAAAAGUCACCAAGCAAAAUGGAAAUGCUAGCAAUGUAGCAGGACUUAAAUUUUAUGAGAGUAACAUUAUGACUGGGUACAUAAAAAUGAGCGGGAAAUCUGCAGCUGACAAGAGGUCAGUGCGCAAUUACUUCUCUCUCACCAAAUGGCUCCAGUUUGAAAGACUUCAUUUAAAUAGAAAGACAGUGACGAAAAUGCUGACUUGAGCUGAGCGUGUACAACCCAAGCAAAUUUAACACGGUAAGACAAAAGCAAUGCAAGGCUGUAGAGGUGCCUCUCAGACAAACAACUGUUUCUCUGCAGUCUGACAAAGGCAUCUCAGAUGGGGCUGCUGGAGGCCUCUAGUUCGACCCCAUGCAUGGAUAAAGUAGGUUGCUCAGGGCUGUGUGCAGGCCACUUUAGGCUGUCUCUGAGGUUGGAGAGACCAUGGACUACGCUGGCCACUUCUCGGUUCACCGUCACAGGGAAGAAGCCCUACUCUACCUCAGUGUAGCUGUAGGGUCCUCCCACCUGCUGUUCUCUCAGCCACUCUGUGCAUGCUGCAGGCCUCAGCACUCCUGGCAGCCCAGCUCGGGACUUGUUCCCAUCUGCCAGCAUCUCUUCUGUACCCAAAGGAGCACACAGUGCUGCAGCUGUACUUCAGUAGUGCCAACAUCAGGAAGGACUGCUUCCCUUGCCUUGCUGGCCGUGCUCCUGCUAACUGGCCCAGGGUUGGCUCUUGGCCUUCCCUGCUGCAGGAGCACGUCACUGCCAUGUGUCCUGCAUGUCCUCGGGCCCUAUGACAAUAUGGUGACUUAAUUAAAAAGAACCACCGUUGUCAAAGAAGAAAGCAAGUUCACAGUCAUUCCAGGGCUGACUUGGUCCCUGCACACAGGCCUGGCUCGCUGCUCCCUGACCCCAGGGCCAGAGGAGCAGCGCUUGCUUUGUAACACCGCAAGAUCCAUUUUGACGUUUCGUAAAAUAAGAGGAAUAAACUACAUUCUGACCACACAAAUACAUCUUUUUCUCUGACAGAAAGGAAAGAAAUACUGCAUUUUCCAUUAGCCUGAAUAGAUUAUUUAAAGUUCCAAAUAAACAGCUCUUCUUAGUACACAGCAAAUGCUUAAGUCCCAUCUGAUUCAGCAAAGCUUUUAACCAUCCAAGUGUCACUGCCUUCAGAAAGAACGCUAAGUGAGUGCUGCUGUGCUUUGCUGAAUUUUGGCCUCAAACUGUAAGAAAAGGAUAAUUCAGCUCAUUAUAUUUUGUGAAUGACACAAUGCCCCUGAAUGUUAAACUUUAUAUCUAUUUGCAUAUAUAUAUGUGCAGCAUUAGGUUUGGCUCUCAAGUAACUACAGAGAUCAAAGUACACAUAGAUCCUUAGAGACUAUCAGACUGCAAUUACGCUGCAAAAUAAAUUAUAGGCAGUCUCUCUCUAUGCCACACACUGUCCAGCUGUACAUUUGCUUGGGUUCCUCUAUUGCCCUUGAACAUGCCUUGGUUUCAUUUGUUGAAUAAAAUACUCUUAGAUGAGGGCUUAUGAAGCAACCACUUCACUCCCAGCAGUGCUUGCUUUUAAACACAAAAAAAAAUUCUUGAAGUUGAAAAAUAAGCAAACAACUACAGAAAAAGCUAACCAAGCAAGAAUUUGUCAUGGGUUAUGCUGAAAAGUUCCCAAAGAUCUUAUUAGGGAUUUAAAAUAACUUUUCAGAGAGGACUAACAGUGGUUGGGGGUAGUCUGUGAGCAGUGCAUACCUUCACAGCCCUGGACAGAUUUGAUGCCUUGUUGUGGAUCUUGGUUUCUGCAAAUGUUAAUUUAUCUAAAAAUUUUCCAUGUUAUGGCAGCUUGAAGCAUUCCUGUCACUGCCACAGUCCAUGAGGUGCUAGUUCCCCUCUUGCUCACAGGACAUGCUCGGGACCCAAAGCGCAAGCUGGCCGAGGUCAUUGCUGUGCUGCUGCAACUCAGCUGGCAUCACCUCCAAUAGCUCUUAUGCAGCUCACUGAUGGGCUCUGACAUUCUCUCCCUCUAUCAAUGUCAAAUGAAUGUUUGUGACUAUAAUGGUAAAUUACCAUUAUUGGCAUUGCGAUUAUGUCUGACUGCACUUGGGAUGGAAAUUUAAGAACAGUGCAAAGAAGGAGGCUAUCCAGCUCCUUUCAUCUAGCUUUAUGGGAUGAAAUGCAUCAGUUAAAAACACUGGGUUCAGCUGAUCACAAUGUUUAAGCGAUUAUUUUUAAGUGAAUUGUUAAUCCAUGAUAGUGAGCCCAUGAAACUGAAGUUACUAUUUUAUCCCCCUAAUAAGAUUGAUCAGGAUAGAAACAGCUCCUUACCCAGUUCCUUAUCUCCAUCACAUCUCCAAGCACAACAGCUAAAAGAAAAGCUCCUGAUCCGCCUGGGAAGGCAGUUACUGCAGUACAGGUUCCCCAGUGCACUGAAAGCUUUCCUCCAGCCCCCUGAGCUCAUCCCAUGCUCAUGGAGGACAUCAGAUCAGCAGAACAGGGCCCCGCUGACCCUGGCAGCUCCUGGCUGACAGCCCAGUGCUUGCAGCAAUUGAGUCACUGCCUUGUCCCCACCUCACAGCAGCAGGAGCAACAGCAACUCAGCCCUCCAUCCCCACACCAUUCCCAGUCUAUUCUUCUAGUAUCCUGAAGAACUAACAGAGUCCUACAGACUGCCCACGUAGGUGUAGGAAACAGUCUCUGAAGACUCCUACCAAGGCACAUAAACCUCAACAAUUGAAAUCUGGCCAAAAAAAUGUCACCUCUACGUUAAUGUUAUUCCAUAUAUCGGCAAAACCAGAGAGGUGUUACGGGGAAUACUAGUGGCGGUCUCUAAUGUCCUAUCCAACAAAGUUUGUUACCAAUUCUGUUGCCUGCCAGACAUUCAGUUACCUCUUGAAAAUAUUUCCAUAUAUCCCCUGGACACAACAAGUCCCACUAGAGUCUGAUGGUUCCCCAGUACCACUGCAAGUUUGUUGCUUCUUAAAAGUUGUUCUUGCUCUCCUCUAUUUCUCCCUUAAAAUGCAAAUUUCAAUUUCUUUAAGAAUAGGAACAUUUUUUUUCCCCCUUGCUAUUGUACAAAAGACUUGCCAAAUGGGAUGCCAGUGCUUGAUUAGGGCUUUAAGUUACUAUAAUAAUAGAAAUAAAUGGAAUUAAAAGUACGCAGUUCAAUAUCUUGCAGCACUGAUAGUUUCUGAAUUCUGCAAUGAAAGAUUAACCCAAUGUAUGUUUAGAUAGAAUCUCUGUGAGCCUAUGAUAUCCAGAGAUAUCUGAAAGCUCAUGUGAUUUACAAUGCUUUUCUGCAGCUUUCUGAGUUUUUCAAACUUCUGCAAAAUGAAUUCUUUCUAAGGACAAAUAUCAAAAGAUGAACGGGAAGAAGGUGAUUUAUGAUGAAUAAAUCUCAAAAGGUUCAGAACCUACACUCUAAUGGGAUAUGCACCACAGAGUUUGAAAAGCUAUCUGAAACUGAAGCAAAAUUCAUAUUUCAUCAAGAGGAAUGUGGGGGACCACAGCAGUCUUUCUUGUCCAAAACGAAUCUGGUUGUGUCAUUCCAUAGAAACCAUGCUGUAAUUUAAAUUAAUGCUCAUGACCGAGACAGAAAGAUUAGGUAAUAGUAGAAAAAUAAGGGAAGUGAAACUUGGAAUCUAAAAUAAGUUUUUCAGUAAAAGCUACAGAUAACUGGAAGAAUCUUUUAUUUUUUCAACAUUCCCUAUCUAACCCCAAAAAAGGAUUUUUCCUAAUUUAAGAGAAAGAAUAAAAGAGCUUUGGAUUGAACUGCAUAAUCAGUGAACCAGACAGUCCCAAACUGCUCAAGCAUAUCUGACAUCUGCUUGAAGAACUCAGCUGCAAAUAGCAGAAGAGAGUUUCCAUUACAGUACACGCAGAGCUGGGUUGGGAGAAGCAGCAUUAGAAAGUGUUAUUCCCAUUUAGUAAUUAUGCCUUGAUUGUUUUUUAUAUGUUUGCUCACUGUAACUUGCUUGCCUUAGGGUGGCACUACUGCUAGAGAGAACACAAAAGUAAUUUAGUUUUAAAGGGGAAAUGAAAGUUUAGAAGUAGUUUAACGUUUCAGUAGAACUGUAAUGAUUGGAGAUGACUGGAUUGUGUUGAUAAAGAGUACUAAUUUCAAUAGUAACUCAUGCCUUAAUCCUCCUCACAGCAAACAGCCUUCCUCGCUCCUUUGUGGUACACAAUAUACUCUUUACAUCACAGUCAAUACUAUCAGGGAGGAAAAAAAACCAAACAUUUUCAUUUUUAUUCCUCAGAAGCUUCACAGAGACCAGAUUUCCACAGAGCUGUUAUUUACUCCUAUGUAAAAGGCAUUGGCUCUGUAAUGAGGUGUAAUCACCAACACACAGUUCACGACAUCUUUCUCUUGCUUAGAUUUACCACCCCAUUUCUCCACCAGUGGCCAUGACCUCAGCAGAGUUGGAAUGUGAUGCCUCACGCUGAUGUCAAUGAUCACAUCAAAAAGCCAGCGUUCCCAAGCUCUGCAGAGAAGCCAGGAACGAUAUUGCAGAGCUGGGAGCCAGCGGAACGCGCUUGCUGAGUGAAGACUUCCCGCAGGACUUCCCUGCAGACACUUCUACCCCUGUACAUCAGCAGAGCUUGACCACACAUGGCACGGGUGGGCAUACUAGUGACCUAGUCUGCAGGUCAGCUGCCAUCCCUUGUCAUUUUGGACUAAUAAAUGGGCAUUUGUUCACUUCCACAAUGUGAUACAGAGGUCAGUGUUUAGCCCCAGAGAAUACCGUAUGAUUAGUGCAUCAUAGGACUUGUCUUAAAUUCUUCAUCUCUCACUCUCCAGCCCUUUAUUCUCACAUUUUUCCUUUGUUCCUUUCUGCAAAUCCUAGUGUAAAUGUUUUUUUGAGUAAUUAAUGUGUCAAAUACAAGACCUGAAUUUUCACGGGCAAUUAGUGGGCUGAAUAAAACCAGCAAAACGCAUUUCAGAUUUAAUAGUGAAUUGAGCCUCAUCUGCUGUUUUGCAGAGCUGUAACCUGAAAUACAGAGAGCUUCAUAUGCACGUAAACUUUUUAUUUCAUACACCAACCCUUCCUCUCCUUUUCUGCUUUUCACCACAUACAAGGAUGCUGUUUGUAGUCUAUUACAAUUUGCAUAUCGUCCUUCUGCCUCAUUGAUAAUUGAUCAGGAUAACAUCUGCUUUCUGCUGGUGUCAAGAGAAAUGUAUUUGUUUCUACAGGUCUGUGCAAUUUCUCAAGCCUUGCUGAAGUGCAGUUCCCUGACAGAGAGCCACCUCGUGCCUCCCAUAGCUAUACAAGGCACAACUGAAAAUGUGUACCAUGCCCACAUAUGUGGCUCCAUGAAUGCAGAGUGGUGUACAGCUUACUUACACAGUCGCACAGCAACACAAAGUGAUGUCUGCUACUGGCAAAAGUAAGAGGUAUUAUAAGUACUGUAGGUAGUAAGUAGGACUCUCAGAAUUCAUAAUUCCUGCUGAAGGCACAAGACAUCCAGUGCAAGGGGAGAAAGUGAAGGAUUGAGAGAUUGCCUAAAGAGAAGAGCUGAUGUGCAGUUUUACCAUGGGACAUACACUUCCAACAAAAUUUAGAAGUGCAGAUACUGGAUCAUUUUGAUAUUAGAGGACUAUAAGAAAGAGUUUUAUGCUUUCCAACGUUUCUGGGGAUUUAACUGUCUGGUUCAAAAAAAUACCCGACUCUGAAUCAGCUCAGCUUAGAGGCAAGCAGUCAAAAUGAUUAGCAAGCCAAGGAGAUGGCUCAGUCUCAAGGACACAGUGCACUACUCUGACUGGCAAAUCCAUCACAAGUUGCAUAUAUCAUAAUCGAGCAACACAAAUUUGUAAAUAAUCUCUACUUCAGUGUCUAUGUUGACAAGGAAGAAUAUGAGACCUUUCUUGUUAGGUAACCUUCUGUCUAAACAGAGCAUCCUGACACUUAAGAGUGCUGAGAGCAUCUGCAUGAAUGCCUAAAAAAUAUUAGGAAAUGGUGAGAGAUCAAACAAGGUGGUAAGCAGAGGCAUAACAUAAACAGCCUGAUCUUCCUAGCCAGCAGAGCUGGGCACAGGUAAAAGGGUUAGGCUUAGGUUAGAAAGCAUACAACUUGGUUUUCAGUGCCCUGUCUGUUUUUCUAAAUACUACGUACCUUUCAAGGAACGUACUUAAUAUCAUUGGAGGACUGCAGGUAUCACUGGAAUCUAAUUUAUAAGCAAAUCUAGGUAGACACUUAUUAGCACCAAAAUACAAAUGAUCAAUGAAACGUAGAAAUGAGUGCAAUAUCCCUUCUGUGCCACCAAACCUGAAGUGAUCUCAUCCACAGGUAGACAGAGCAAGGGAGUACUGUCACACAAAGUGAUGACACAGGAGAGAUAAACGUGCGUAUCAUGUUCUGGCCAUCCAUAAUAUGGAUGGAAGAUUAAAAGCACCGUUACUGACCGAGAAAGUACAAUAACUACAAUCACUUUUAAGAGAGAGAUAAUUUGUCAACCGUCACCGCACAAUGGCACCUGGGAUGCCAUGAUUCCUAAAUGCAAUUAGUAGCUGCAGGUGACCAGUUUGAAACAAGACACAGCAAUCAUAUUGCUUUGGGAAGUGCUGAGCACCCAUCCUAAAGAGCGGGACCUUUGGAUAUGCCUUAGCUUUGGCUGAACCCGCCCCACAUCUCAGGGCCCUCCAGUGCAGACAACAUAAUGGGACUCUGCCAACCAUAUGAAGCUGUUGCUUUCUGGUUACUGGUGCUUCAGCAUUAUUAAAUGCAUGUGCUUUAUAUCUAUAGGCAUACCAACUUUCCUUCAGCACAUUUUUCUACUUCAUUUAUGACAGUAUUGGUGUUUCUAUGGAUAUUUGCAUUUAAAAACCACACCAGGAAUUCAUUCCUGAAGGGAGGAAGCCUUUCUCCCCACUUCAGGCACAAUUCAUAUCCCAGUCCUUCCUUCCCCAGGCUUACACUGUAGGAAACAGCACCUAUAAUAAGCUUAAGGGAAAAUGAAAUACAUCAAGGAAGAUCAAACAGUUGCAGCAGUCAAGCCCCGUACCAGACACACAGGACCAGUCCCUGAUACGUAGCCAAGAAUCAGACAAAGAAAAAUGAGUUGUCAAGAAGCCGAUUCUACUGAAGAGACCCCUCCUGGAGCUGGACAUCUGGGUGCUUCGCAUGCCAACAUUAAAUCAUCAGUCAGUUGUUUUUGGUGGGGAAACAGGAGUAAAUUUCAUACUGCCAGCGCUGGGACGGGUGGGCAGCUGCAGGAUCACUCACGUGCCACAGCUGUGCUGCCCACGCUGCCCCAACGCCCGCUCACUGCUGAGGGGACGGCUGUAGCAGCGCCAUUAGAAAACUUCUUGAAGCAAGUGCAUCUGCUUCCUGAGCUAAAUCUCAUUUGUAUGGUUAAAAGAAAAACACCAGUGCAAAUGGUCAUUGUACCGGAUGAAACCAAAACAAUACCCUGAGAUAGGCAGAAGAGCUCCAGGCCAGCUCCUCAACUCUGUGUAUCCUCCCAUUUUUCAGACUGUUCCGGCUUUGAGUAUUUUCAAGGCCUUAUGGCAGGUACUUUUAAGGACAGGAAAUUUCCAGACAAUUAAACUGCAUGCACAAACAUUCCACAGAGAAUUUUGCGGUGAAAUUGUCUUGUAAGCCCAUGUUUUUCAGCUCCAGAAUAAAGUGCUGAAGAAUUUUCAGCAGCUGAAUAUAUGUAACACUAUACACAAAAAGCUUCAAAUCAUCACGUGGGUAUCAGCACUGUACAUGUAGCUCUGGUACAAUACCAGUGUCCCAGUUUCAAACUCUCAGAUCUAGUCCUUGAGAGAACCAGAAAACAAAGAAAAAGAACCUCAGAAUAUUAAACAAAUUGAAACUGUACAGUACUUCCUGUUUGCAAGGAUUUGCACAUCCAUGCAUGAGUUUAAAGAUCCUGAUAACUGCAGCGGGAAAAACAAGAAAAUCUACAGCAGAGGAAGAAUAUUCUGGUUAGUAUUUCAGCUUCAAGAGAAGUUUAAAGUUCCUCCUACAAUGGCAGUGAUAAAGAUAGCAUUCAUCUUCAGUUUCAGCAAUAAGCCUGAAUUUGAUCUCUUUUCAAGACUGUUCAUCAUACACGCUGUCCUCUGAGCUUGUGUUUUUCCUUAGUUUACUGAUGGCCUUAUUAUAUCCUUAUGCAUGAGAGAAACACUUUAUUCCCACAGCAUUAAAAUUGUCUUCUGUGAAAGUGGGGAGGUGGUGAAGUGAGGCAUAAUUUACAGUUUCAGAAUAGUGGAAUAACAUUAGUUAUAAAUCUGCAGCUCUCAUGAGUUUCUUACCUGAAGACAGGGAGACUUACAACCGGCAACACAACAAAGAUCCAGUUAAACUAUUCAUUUAUAGAGGGGAAGAAUGACAAGUGUACAACGAGAGCACUACAACACAUCAAAUAUGCACUGAAGAUGAAGUAAAGAUCGUAGUUUAGAAUGAC